UUAACACAUGCAAGUCGAGCGGAAAGGCUCCUUCGGGGGUACUCGAGCGGCGAACGGGUGAGUAACACGUGAGUAAUCUGCCCUUGGCUUCGGGAUAGCCACCGGAAACGGUGAUUAAUACCGGAUACGACACAUCACUGCAUGGUGCGUGUGUGGAAAGUUUUUUCGGCCAGGGAUGUGCUCGCGGCCUAUCAGCUUGUUGGUGGGGUAAUGGCCUACCAAGGCUUCGACGGGUAGCCGGCCUGAGAGGGUGACCGGCCACACUGGGACUGAGACACGGCCCAGACUCCUACGGGAGGCAGCAGUGGGGAAUAUUGGACAAUGGGCGGAAGCCUGAUCCAGCAACGCCGCGUGAGGGAUGACGGCCUUCGGGUUGUAAACCUCUUUCAGCACAGACGAAGCGCAAGUGACGGUAUGUGCAGAAGAAGGACCGGCCAACUACGUGCCAGCAGCCGCGGUAAUACGUAGGGUCCGAGCGUUGUCCGGAAUUAUUGGGCGUAAAGGGCUCGUAGGCGGUUUGUCGCGUCGGGAGUGAAAACACCGGGCUUAACUCGGUGCUUGCUUUCGAUACGGGCAGACUAGAGGCAUUCAGGGGAGAACGGAAUUCCUGGUGUAGCGGUGAAAUGCGCAGAUAUCAGGAGGAACACCGGUGGCGAAGGC
rnacentral:rRNA from 1 species